rnacentral:rRNA from 1 species
AGAGUUUGAUCAUGGCUCAGGACGAACGCUGGCGGCGUGCUUAACACAUGCAAGUCGAACGGAAAGGCCCUUCGGGGUACUCGAGUGGCGAACGGGUGAGUAACACGUGGGUGAUCUGCCCUGCACUUUGGGAUAAGCCUGGGAAACUGGGUCUAAUACCGAAUAUGACCAUGCACUUCCUGGUGUGUGGUGGAAAGCUUUUGCGGUGUGGGAUGGGCCCGCGGCCUAUCAACUUGUUGGUGGGGUAAUGGCCUACCAAGGCGACGACGGGUAGCCGGCCUGAGAGGGUGACCGGCCACACUGGGACUGAGAUACGGCCCAGACUCCUACGGGAGGCAGCAGUGGGGAAUAUUGCACAAUGGGCGCAAGCCUGAUGCAGCGACGCCGCGUGAGGGAUGACGGCCUUCGGGUUGUAAACCUCUUUCAGCACAGACGAAGCGCAAGUGACGGUAUGUGCAGAAGAAGGACCGGCCAACUACGUGCCAGCAGCCGCGGUAAUACGUAGGGUCCGAGCGUUGUCCGGAAUUACUGGGCGUAAAGAGCUCGUAGGUGGUUUGUCGCGUUGUUCGUGAAAACUCACAGCUUAACUGUGGGCGUGCGGGCGAUAUGGGCAGACUUGAGUACUGCAGGGGAGACUGGAAUUCCUGGUGUAGCGGUGGAAUGCGCAGAUAUCAGGAGGAACACCGGUGGCGAAGGCGGGUCUCUGGGCAGUAACUGACGCUGAGGAGCGAAAGCGUGGGGAGCGAACAGGAUUAGAUACCCCGGUAGUCC